AUUGAACGCUGGCGGCAGGCCUAACACAUGCAAGUCGAACGAGUGGCGGACGGGUGAGUAAUUUCUGGGAAACUGCCUGAUGGAGGGGGAUAACUACUGGAAACGGUAGCUAAUACCGCAUACCAUCAGAUGUGCCCAGAUGGGAUUAGCUUGUGGGUGGGGUAACGGCUCACCAAGGCGACGAUCCCUAGCUGGUCUGAGAGGAUGACCAGGCACACGGGAACGGAGACACGGUCCAGAGGCCGACGGGAGGCAGCAGUGGGGAAUAGUGCACAAGGGGCGAAAGCCUGAUGCAGCCAUGCCGCGUGUAUGAAGAAGGCCUUCGGGUUGGAAAGUACUUUCAGCGGGGAGGCGUUACCCGCAGAAGAAGCACCGGCUAACUCCGUGCCAGCAGCCGCGGUAAUAC
rnacentral:rRNA from 1 species